UCAACGAUUUUCGAUUCCUCGAAGUUAUCGCAAUAAAUCAAUUCAAUGAUAUAUUAUGGCAAACGUGUUUACGAUCCGUGGCUAAGAAUUAUUGCUUUUGCUACUAUGUGGCAAGCGAUAAAACAAUCGUUGAGCUCGCGUGAUGAUUCGAAUCUGUUUUACUCACUCUUUCCGAGAGAAGACCAGUAAACUGUCGAAGAUAGCGUGAUCGAAGAUUGGAAAAUAAGGGAACAGAAGGGAGCCCUUCGAAUUUUCGUGACGGUACAUGAAUGAGCAACAAGCGGUUCGCUUGUAAAAGUUUCACGAUCUUGUCAGAAAAGAGAGAUGGAUUUACACACGCUUCACGUCGGCCAACUGACGUAGGAGUUUCAAGGAAACGAGCCAAUUUACACAGCUGCUUAGUGCUGCGUCUAUGUCUUUCAAAUCGCCCUUCAUCAGUUCCUUCCUGGUGACAAAAAGGAUCCAAAUAUAAGCAGCACGGAUUAUUUAUUCCAAGUAUGGAGUAGAUCUAAAUUUAAAAUACAGAGAAUUCAAGAAUAGGAAACACACGCUGCAUAUGUAAUAUAAUUCAUUUAUUUUUAUCAAAUCUCUAAACUCUUUUAAAAUAAAAAUUAAUUUUAAAAUUAAAUUGUAAUAUGUACAAGUUUUAAUAAAGAUUGAAUAAAAGAUUACUAUGACAUUAUA